GAUUGUUGGAGCUUGUGGCUCAGUUUGACCCAUUUUUAGCAGGACGUAUCUCAAAAUAUGGGAAUGCUGGCAAAGUUCUGAAUCUGAAGACAUAAUUACUUGUCAUAUUCUAGUUGUGUAAAUGUACUGCCUGAUUGCCCCUCCUUCCCUCCAGGACAUCACCGGAAAACACGAGGCAUCCAAAUUUUAAUCUUUCAUGGUCUAAAAUCUUGAAAGUCAAUCAGCGAUGCAUAACCAAAACUCCACAAAGAAGCUCGAAGGUGCUGAAGAAGACAUCUGGGAUAGACAGAAAUCUUCCUCUUUCCAUGAAAUCCAUUUAAAAUACUCUUAAAUAGGUUAAAUCUGUGCAAGAUCCUUAUUGUGCCCAUGAUUAUUUUACAGAUGGGGAAUUGAUGCACUGAGAGAGACGAUAUGUUUACACUGGGACUGGGAGCGUCCUUCCCAACACAGGUAUACAGAUGUGUUUGCUGCACUCAAGCUACAGUAAUGUGCUAAAAAUAACAGUGUAGCAGGGCAUGGGGGUAGCACAGGCAGCAGCUCAGGCUACUUGCUGAGUACAAACCCACCUGGGCAUGCACUUGGGCAGCACGUCUGUCUCUCCAAGCUGGGAAGCAUGCUCUCACCUGCAGUGUAGACAUACCAUAAGUGACUUGCACAUGGUUACACAGAAAGUCUGUGGCAGUGUGGGGAAUAAAACCCUGGUCUCCCAAGAGAGUGUCCUAACCAUUGGUCCAGGGCCGGCCCACUACAUUUUGGGACCUGAGGCGGGGAGUCCUCACUUGGGCCAAAAUUUUGAAAGGUCUCAAUUCUGCCUUCUCCCUGUUCUACUCCUCUCAUGGUACUGCUCCGCUACCUACCCCAAUAAAGGAGAGCUAACAACUUAAAAUGCCUUGUUCAAAAAUUUUAAGUAACACUUAACUUUCAAAUGCCUGAACAGCAAAUGUAACUUUUCUUGUCUGCAUAGUAAACAAUGGCAUUUUUAUCCAUUUGAAUAAUCAAAGUGGUGCUUUCCGUGCCUUCUUGGUUGCAAAGAUUUGAACUGCUUCCUGAAGGUCCACAGUCUGGGCCAGCUCAUGCUUUAUUGAGAUGGUUGCAAGGCCCACCAGGUUCUCCUGUGUCAUUGUGGAGCAUAGAUGUGUUUUUAUUAACUCCAGCUUGG